rnacentral:rRNA from 1 species
UAGAGACCGGCGCACGGGUGCGUAACGCGUAUGCAAUCUACCUUUUGCAGAGGGAUAGCCCAGAGAAAUUUGGAUUAAUACCUCAUAGUAUAGCGACCUGGCAUCAGGAUGUUAUUAAAGUCACAACGGUAAAAGAUGAGCAUGCGUCCCAUUAGCUAGUUGGUAAGGUAACGGCUUACCAAGGCGACGAUGGGUAGGGGUCCUGAGAGGGAGAUCCCCCACACUGGUACUGAGACACGGACCAGACUCCUACGGGAGGCAGCAGUGAGGAAUAUUGGACAAUGGGCGCAAGCCUGAUCCAGCCAUGCCGCGUGCAGGAUGACGGUCCUAUGGAUUGUAAACUGCUUUUGUACAGGAAGAAACCCUUUCACGUGUGAGAGAUUGACGGUACUGUAAGAAUAAGGAUCGGCUAACUCCGUGCCAGCAGCCGCGGUAAUACGGAGGAUCCAAGCGUUAUCCGGAAUCAUUGGGUUUAAAGGGUCCGUAGGCGGCCAGAUAAGUCAGUGGUGAAAGCCCAUCGCUCAACGGUGGAACGGCCAUUGAUACUGUCUGGCUUGAAUUACAAGGAAGUAACUAGAAUAUGUAGUGUAGCGGUGAAAUGCUUAGAGAUUACAUGGAAUACCAAUUGCGAAGGCAGGUUACUACUUGUGGAUUGACGCUGAUGGACGAAAGCGUGGGUAGCGAACAGGAUUAGAUACCCUGGUAGUCCACGCCGUAAACGAUGGAUACUAGCUGUUGGGAGUGAUCUCAGUGGCUAAGCGAAAGUGAUAAGUAUCCCACCUGGGGAGUACGGGCGCAAGCCUGAAACUCAAAGGAAUUGACGGGGGCCCGCACAAGCGGUGGAGCAUGUGGUUUAAUUCGAUGAUACGCGAGAACCUUACCA